UACGUAGGGGGCAAGCGUUGUCCGGAAUUAUUGGGCGUAAAGCGCGCGCAGGCGGUUUAUUAAGUCUGAUGUGAAAGCCCACGGCUCAACCGUGGAGGGCCAUUGGAAACUGGUAGGCUUGAGUGCAGGAGAGGAGAGCGGAAUUCCCGGUGUAGCGGUGAAAUGCGUAGAGAUCAUGAGGAAGACCAGUGGCGAAGGCGGGUCUCUGGACAGUUCCUGACACUGAGACACGAAGGCCAGGGGAGCAAACGGG
rnacentral:rRNA from 1 species